rnacentral:rRNA from 1 species
GAUCCUGGCUCAGAUUGAACGCUGGCGGCAUGCCUUACACAUGCAAGUCGAACGGUAACGGGUCCUUCGGGAUGCCGACGAGUGGCGAACGGGUGAGUAAUAUAUCGGAACGUGCCCAGUAGUGGGGGAGUAACUGCUCGAAAGAGCAGCUAAUACCGCAUACGACCUGAGGGUGAAAGGGGGGGAUCGCAAGACCUCUCGCUAUUGGAGCGGCCGAUAUCAGAUUAGCUAGUUGGUGAGG